rnacentral:lncRNA from 1 species
UGGUUUGCAAGUUUAUUAUGUAACUUUUCUUAACACACUUCUUUUAUGCAAAUAUGGAGUGAAUUUUUUGGAGCUUUACUUGUUUCCAAUUCCAUUAACUUUUUCUUAACACACACGCACACACACACACACACACUCACACUCACACACACACACACGUGCACACACACACACACACACUCACACUCACACUCACACUCACACUCACACUCACACUCACACUCACACACACUCACACUCACUCACACACAGUCACAGUCAGAGUCACACACACUCGCACACUCACACAUUCACACAUGCACACACACUCACACACACACUCACAACUCACACUCACACUAACACACACUCACAUUCACACGCACACUCACAAACUCACACACUCACUCACACACACACUCACGCUUACUCACUCACGCUCACACUCGCUCACACUCACACACACACACACACACACGCUCACACAUUCACACACACACACGCUCACACAUAUUCACACACUCACACUCACACUCGCACUCACACACACACUUUCACACUUAGUCAUACACACUAACACACACUCACACAGACUCACUCACAACUUACACACACUCACACUCACAGAUAUAUGCUACACAUAUGUGUGUUGUGUAUGGACUGAUGUGUGUAUAUAUACGAUAUGUAUAUACUUAUAUGUUUAUGCGUUUAUGUAUACAAUUGCUUGCUAUCAAUUAUAUAUAGUUAUCAAUGUAUAUAUACACUGAUAUACACACGCACAUGUACCUUUACACGUUGAUAGGUUCAUAUAUACUGUGUAUGUAUACACUGACACUGACACUCACACUCACACUCACUCACACUCACACUCACACUCACACUCACAUUCACUCAUACUCACGCUCACACUCACACUCACACUCACUCACACAACACACACACUCACAGAUAUAUAUAUUACACAUAUAUGCAUGUUGUGUAUGGACUGAUGUGUGUAUAUAUACGAUCUGUAUAUACUAAUAUGUUUGUGCCUGUUUUUGCGAUCUUGAUCUUGAAAACUUGAUUUGCUUAAUGGUUCUUUCUUCUUUAAUAUAGUACUUCUUUUUUCAUGCAAAUAAGAAGUGAAUUUUCUGGAGCUUUACUUGUGGUUUGCAAUUUUAUUAUGUAACUUUUCUUAACACACACACUCUUGCUUCUUUUAUGCAAAUAUGGAGUGAAUUUUUUGGAGCUUUACUGGUUUCCAAUUUCAUUAACUUUUUCUUAACACACACGCACAUACACACACACUCACAUUCACACUCACACUCACACUCACACUCACACUCACACUCACACUUACACUCACACACACACUCACACGCGCACACACACUCACACUCACACUCACACUCACACUCACACUCACACACAGUCACAGUCACGAUCACAUUCACUAUCAGAGUUACACACACUCACAUGCACACACUCACACACACACUCACACUCAACUCACACACACACACACAACUCACACACACACACACUCACAACUCACACUCACUCACAUUCACAUUCACACGCACACACAAACUCACACACUCACACACACACACACACACACGUUCACACUCACACUCACACUCACACUCACACUCACACUCACACACACACACACGCUCACACAUACUCACACACACACACACUCGCACUCGCACUCACACACACACUUUCACACUUACACACAUUCAUACACACUAACACACACUCACACAGACUCACACACACACUCACACUCACAACUUACACUCGGACUCACAGAUAUAUGCUACACAUAUAUGCGUGUUGUGUAUGGACUGAUGUGUGUAUAUAUACGAUAUGUAUAUACUUAUAUGUUUAUGCGUUUAUGUAUACAAUUCCUUGCUAUCAAUUAUAUAUAGUUAUCAAUGUAUAUAUACACUGAUAUACACACUCACACUUGCACUCGCGCAAAUAUAUAAUAUGUGUUUGUAUAUACACUACUGUAUAAGACCAUGUAUAUAUACCUAUUAUCAGUGAUAUAUACAAUUUCUUCUUUCCCAAUUGUGAUAGUCCAUGUAAAUUUUUUUUCUUAUUUGUGCUUGUUUUUAUUAAUAUUGAUGAGCUUCAUCUUCAUCAAGUUUUCUUGUAAAUUAAGAAGCAUGAAAGCAACUUAUCAUCGAGGCGGAUCUCUUUACGUUAUUCGAUAUUUAAGAUCUUGAUCUUGAUCUUGCACGCUUGAUUUCCUACGCUUGAUUUCCUUAAUGGUUCUUUCUUCUCUAGUAUGGUAUUGCUCUUUCUUCUUUCAUGCAAAUACGAAAUGAAUUUUAUAGAGCUUUACUUGUGGUUUGCAGAUUUAUUAAGUAAUGUUUUCUUAACACACACAAUCUCUUGCUUCUUUCAUUCAACUAUGGAGUGAAUUUUUUGGAGCUUCACUUGUGGUUUGCUAUUUUAUUUACUUUUUCUUAAGAUAUACAGCCUGCACACACACACACACACACUCACACUCACACUCCCACUAAUGUAUAAGAAUGGGUUUGUAUAUACGCUUCUGUAUAAGACCAUGUAUAUACCUAUUAUCAGUGAUAUAUACAGUUAUUAGCUCAAUUUGUGUAUGUAUUGAUGUAUAGCAGUACAUACCAUUGUUUUGAGGGUAUAUAUAUAUAUUGAUGCAUAUAACCAUACAACACAUUAGUUAUUAGCUAUAUAUAUAGUUACUAGUGUGUAAAAAUACAUUGAUAUGCGUGUGUGUGAUGUCUGUAUAUAUAUGAUGUGUAUACACGUAUUUGUGUGUAUGUGUAAAGUGUAUAACGGUAAAUUUUCAGUGCAUUACUAUAUACAUUUCUAUAUAUAUUGAUGUAUACACUUAUUAUCAGUUUAUACAUUUAUUAAUGUAUAAUGUACACUGAUUUAUAUACUAUACACACACACACAUGCAUUCAUACUCACACUCACACUCACACUCACGCUCACAUUUACACUCACACAUACGUACACACACACUCACACUCACACUGAUAUCGUACGUACAUGCACCCUUACGCAUUAAUAGUGCAUAUAUACAUUUCUAUAUACACUGAUAUGUAUGACCAUAUAGAUACUUAUUAUCAGUUUAUACAGUUAUUAGUUUAUGUGUAUAUUGAAAUGUAUAUACAUACACUCAUAUGCAUAUGUAUAAAGGGUUUAUAUUUACACUAAUGUAUUAGACCAUGUGUAUAUUUAUUAUCAGUGAUAUAUACAGUUAUUAGCUCAAUUUGUAUAUCUAUUGAUGUAUAGCAAAACGUACCAUUGUUUUCAGAGUAUAUAUAUAUAUACUGAUGUAUAUAACUAUAUAAUACAUUACUUAUUUGCAAUAUAUACAAUUUUUAGGGUGUAAGAAUACAUUGAUAUGUGUGUGCGUGAUGUCUAUAUAUAUACGAUGUGUAUAUACAGAUUUCUGUGUAUGUAUAAAGUGCAUAACUGUAUAUAUAGAAUGCAUUAAUAUAUACAUUUCUAUGUACAUUGAUGUAUAUGACCAUCUGUACACGUAUUAUCAGUUUAUACCUUUAUUAACGUAUACGUACGUUGAUUUAUAUAUUACACACACACGUUCUCAUACUCACAUUCACACUCACACUCAUACAUACUCACACACACUCACACUAGCACUCGCACUCGUACUCACACUCACACUCCUCGCACUCACGCACACUCAUGCUCACGCUCACACUCACGCUCACACUCACACUCAUACUCACGCUCACACACACUCAAACUCACCUCUAAUCUGAAAUGCCUCGGCGAAAUUCCAUAUUACUUUGUAUAGAAUUAAGCAUAAGAAUGGGUUUUUUCUCUUGAUGAAUUGGGUAUGCUAAAUACGCAAUUGUGAUAAUUCAUGUUAAUUUUUUAUCUUAUUUGUACACCAAACACACACACAUACUCACACUCACACUAAGGUAUAUGACCAUGUAUAUACUUAUUAUCAGCGAUAUAUACCGUUAUUAGCUCAAUUUGCGUAUGUAUUGAUGUAUAACAACAUAUACUAUUAUUUUUAGAGUAUAUAUAUAUACUGAUGCAUAUAGCCAUACAAUACAUUAGUUAUUCAAUAUAUAUACAGUUAUUAAUGUGUAAAAAUACAUUGAUAUGUGCAUGUGUGUGUGUGACGUUUAUAUAUAUACGAUGUGUAUAUGCGGAUUUGUGUGUAUGUGUAAAGUGCAUAAUUGUUUAUAUACAGUGCAUUAAUAUAUACAUUUCUAUAUAUAUUGAUGUAUAUGAUCAUAUAUAAAUUUAUUAUCAGUUUAUACAUUUAUUAACGUAUAUGUACACUGAUUUAUAUACUACACACACGCACUCACACUCACAUUUACGCACAUGCAUUCACACUCACACACACGUACUCACACACGCAUACUCACAUAUACACACGCACUCACACACACACUCGCACUCAAACUCACACACUUACUCACACUCAUAGAUAUAUAUACUAUCACCUCUAAUCUGAUAAGCCUAGGAAAAAUUCAUUAUUACUCUGUAUAGAAUUAGGCAUAAGAAUGAGUAUCUUCUCUUGAUGAAUUGGCUAUGCUAAAUACCCAAUUGUGAUAGACCAUUUAAUUUUUUUUCUUAUUUGUACUUGUUUUUAUUAAUAUUGAUGAGCUCCAUCUUCAUCGAGUUUUCUUUAAAUCAACAAGCAAGAAAGCAACUUAACAUCAAGGUGGAUUUCUUUACGUUAUUUGAUAUUUGAGAUCUUGAUCUUGCAAGCUUGAUUUACUUAAUGAUUCUUGCUUCUCAUGUAUAGUACUGCUUUUUCCUUUUUUAUGCAAAUACGGAGUGAAUUUUUUGGAGCUUUAGUUGUGGUUUGCAAUUUUAUUAAGUAACUUUUUCUUAACACACAAACUCUUGCUUCUUUCAUGUAAAUAUGGAAUGAAUUUUUUGGAGCUUUAGUUGCGGUUUGCAAUUUUAUUAAGUAACUUUUUCUUAACACACACACACACCACACACAUACUCACACUCACUAAUGUAUAAGAAUGGGUUUGUAUAUACAUUACUGUAUAAGACUAAGUAUAUACCUAUUAUCAAUGAUAUAAGCAAUUAUUAGCUCAAUUUGUGUAUGUAUUGAUGUAUAGCAACGCAUAUCAGUGUUUUCAGAGUUUAUAUAUAUACUGAUGCAUAUAACCAUACAAUAAAUUAUCAACUAUAUAUACAGUUACUAGUGUGUAAAAAUUCAUUGAUGUGUGUGUGAUGUCUGUAUAUAUACGAUGUAUAUAUACGGAUUUGUGUGUAUGUGUAAAGUGUACAACUGUAUAUUUUCAAUGCAUUAUUAUAUGCAUUUCUAUAUACAUUGAUGUACAUGACUAUAUAUACACUUAUUAUCAGUUUAUACAUUUAUUAAUGUAUAUAUACACUGAUUUAUAUACUACACACAUAUACACGCACUCACACUUGCACUCGCACUCGCACUCACACUUACACUCACACUCACACUGAUUUAUAUACUGAUAUGCGUUUGCACAUGCACCCUUAUGCAUUGAUAGUGCAUACAUAAAUUUCUAUAUACACUGACGUGUAUGACCAUAUAGACAUUUAUUAUCAGUUUAUACAGUUAGUAGUGUAUAUGUAUAUUGAAAUGUAUAUACAUACACUAAUAUGCAUAUAUAUAAAGGGUUUAUAUAUACACUAAUGUAUAAGACCAUGUAUAUACUUAUUAUCGAUGAUAUACACAUUUAUUAGUUCAAUUUGUGUACUUAUUGAUGUAUAGCAAUAUAUACCAUUGUUUUGAGUGUAUUUGUAUUUUUUGAUGCAUAUAACUAUAUAAUACAUUAGUUAUCUGCUGUAUAUAUAAUUAUUAUGUAUGUGUGUGAUGUCUGUAUAUAUAUGUUGUGUAUAUAUUGAUAUGUGUGUAUGUGUAAAGUGCAUAACUGUAUACAUAUAGUGCAUUAGUAUAUUCAUUUCUAUUUACAUUGAUAUAUAUGACGAUAUAUAUACUAUUUAUCAGUUUAUACAGUUAUUAGUAUAAAUGUACAUUGAUUUAUAUACUACACACACUCACACUCACGCACAAUCAUACUCCCAUCCACACUCUCUCUCACACACACUCGUACUCACACUCACACUCAUACACACACACUCAUACUCACACUAACUCUCAUACUCACACUAACACUCACUCGCAAUCACAUUCACACAGACUGACACACUCACAUUCACACACUCACACACACACUCACACUCACAGUCAGACUCACACUCGUUGGCACACUCACACUCUCACAUACACACACUCGCACUCACACUCACAUACACACUCACACACUCUCACAUACACACACUCACACUCACACUCCUACUCUCAGUCACAGUCACACUCACACAAACACUAACACUAACACUGACACUCACAGAGAUGUAUAUUAUACAUGCGUGGUGUGUAUGGACUGAUGUGUGUAUAUUUACGAUAUGUAUAUGCAUAUCUUUUUACGUAUGUAUACAGUUGCUUGUUAUCAGUUAUAUGCAAUUAUCGAUGUAUAUAUAUAUUAAUAUGCGCACGCACAUGUACCCUUACGCGUAGAUAAGUGCAUAUAUAAUGUGUAUGUAUACACUAAUACAUGCAUUCUAUUUUAUAAAAGGAUGAUCAUGCCUCAGAAGGAAGACACCUCGGGAUUUCCUUCUGAAUAUCAUAGCUAGAGUUUUAGUAUUCUGAGUGAUUGUUAUAAAUUUGAGUGAUUAUAAUUUCUGAGUGAUUGUUGUAAACUUGAGUACUUAUUAGGAGUACUUCAAGUUUGUUUUCUGCCUCUCACCCCUAUUUUGAGCUUUUUUUUUGUUUUCUGCCUCUUACCUCUACUUCGAGCUUUCAUGUAAGUGCCUAUCUCUAUUCUGGUUUUAUGAAUAUUCUUAUGAAUGUUACUCUUUCUUAUUUAUGUUUAUGCUUCCGCUAUUUAUGGUAUCGGAGCCGAGUUUAUUCAGUAGAAAACUGAACUAAUUUGUACAUUUAUCUGGUUAACCUACCUAAAGUCCCUGUGACCCAAAGACCACCGCGAGUCUAGAAGGCCAUAAGGUGCAGGGACUAUUUCUGGUUGACUCAAGGAAAGAACACUAAGAUAAAAUGGCAAAUUUGUUUAGAACACUAUCGAAUAGAAC